rnacentral:rRNA from 1 species
CGUGUAGGCGGUCGAUCAAGUCGGAUGUGAAAGCCCUCGGCUCAACCGAGGAAUCGCAUCCGAUACUGGUCGACUGGAGUGCGGCAGGGGUAAGUGGAACUCCAGGUGUAGCGGUGAAAUGCGUAGAUAUCUGGAGGAACGCCGGUGGCGAAAGCGACUUACUGGGCCGCAACUGACGCUAAGGCGCGAAAGCCAGGGGAGCGAACG